rnacentral:rRNA from 1 species
GGGGAAUAUUGCGCAAUGGGGGAAACCCUGACGCAGCAACGCCGCGUGAAGGAUGAAGGUUUUCGGAUCGUAAACUUCUUUGAUGAGGGACGAACAAAUGACGGUACCUCAAAAACAAGCCACGGCUAACUACGUGCCAGCAGCCGCGGUAAUACGUAGGUGGCGAGCGUUGUCCGGAAUUACUGGGUGUAAAGGGCGUGUAGGCGGGAAUGCAAGUCAGAUGUGAAAUACCGGGGCUUAACUCCGGGGCUGCAUCUGAAACUGUGUUUCUUGAGUGUCGGAGAGGAAAGUGGAAUUCCCAGUGUAGCGGUGAAAUGCGUAGAUAUUGGGAGGAACACCAGUGGCGAAGGCGACUUUCUGGACGAUAACUGACGCUGAGGCGCGAAAGCGUGGGGAGCAAAC